GACGAACGCUGGCGGCGUGCUUAACACAUGCAAGUCGAGCGGUAAGGCCCUUUCGGGGGUACAUGAGCGGCGAACGGGUGAGUAACACGUGGGUGACCUGCCCUCAGCUCUGGGAUAAGCCUGGGAAACUGGGUCUAAUACUGGAUAUGACUCCACGGUGCAUGUCGUGGGGUGGAAAGCCUUGUGCGGCUGAGGAUGGGCCCGCGGCCUAUCAGCUUGUUGGUGGGGGAUGGCCUACCAAGGCGACGACGGGUAGCCGGCCUGAGAGGGCGACCGGCCACACUGGGACUGAGACACGGCCCAGACUCCUACGGGAGGCAGCAGUGGGGAAUCUUGCGCAAUGGGCGAAAGCCUGACGCAGCGACGCCGCGUGAGGGAUGACGGCCUGGUGUAACGUACUUCUA
rnacentral:rRNA from 1 species